rnacentral:rRNA from 1 species
CCGCACCUACGGGGGGCAGCAGUGAGGAAUAUUGGUCAAUGGGCGAGAGCCUGAACCAGCCACGUCGCGUGAGGGAGUACUGCCCUAUGGGUUGUAAACCUCUUUUGUCGGGGAGCAAAAGCCGGACGUGUCCGUCUGUGAGAGUACCCGAAGAAAAAGCAUCGGCUAACUCCGUGCCAGCAGCCGCGGUAAUACGGAGGAUGCGAGCGUUAUCCGGAUUUAUUGGGUUUAAAGGGUGCGUAGGCGGAAUGCCAAGUCAGCGGUAAAAUCGCGGGGCUCAACCUCGCUCCGCCGUUGAAACUGGG